AGUUGUGUGUACCUCGGUUCUUUGAUCGACAAUUCGGGUGGCUGUGAAAAUGAAAUUCGACGGCGCAUUCAAGAGGCACGUGUGGCCAUGACAAGGCUCACUAAAAUAUGGCGUGGCCAUAAAAUCACUUAAGCUUCCAAAAUGUCGCUGGUUCAGUCUCUUGCGUUCUCCAUAUUUUUGUAUGCCUCGGAAACUUGGACUGUUAAAAAGGCAGAUCGAGCUCGCAUAGAUGCUUUUGAAAUGUGGACGUGGAGGAGAAUUCUGAG
rnacentral:misc_RNA from 1 species